rnacentral:rRNA from 1 species
CAGAGCCGCGGGAAAACGGAGGGUGCAAGCGUUAAUCGGAAUUACUGGGCGUAAAGCGCACGCAGGCGGUCUGUCAAGUCAGAUGUGAAAUCCCCGGGCUUAACCUGGGAACUGCAUUUGAAACUGGCAGGCUAGAGUCUUGUAGAGGGGGGUAGAAUUCCAGGUGUAGCGGUGAAAUGCGUAGAGAUCUGGAGGAAUACCGGUGGCGAAGGCGGCCCCCUGGACAAAGACUGACGCUCAGGUGCGAAAGCGUGGGGAGCAAACAGGAUCAGAUACCCCUGUAGUCCCUGUCUCUUAUACA